CUAAAGUAAUGUAUUUCAGAGAGGAUGAAGCACAGAGAUGUAUCUAAAGUAAUGUAUUUCAGAGAGGAUGAAGCACAGUGAUGUAUCUAAAGUAAUGUAUUUCAGAGAGGAUGAAGCACAGUGACGUAUCUAAAGUAAUGUAUUUCAGAGGCUCCAGAUUGUUAGAAGGUGCCUUUAAUGAGUAUGUUAGAUAUAGAAUGUAGAUCUCUUUUGCAGCAUUUACAAUAUAUUUAGUUUUUCUAAAUUUUUAAUGAUGAUACACUUUUAUGCACAUGCAGGUGUAACUACUUAUUUACCCUAAAACACAAACUAAGCUAAUCUGAACAUUUAUUAAGAAUGAAUAUAGCCAUUUGUUACCAUGUAGCCUUCUAAUCUAUAAAUAGUGGUAAUUGUAGUAGUAGUAGUAGUAUAGUAGUAACAGUUGUUGUUGUUGUAAUAUUAGUAGUGGUAGUAAUAGUUGUAGUAGAUCAUUUGAGAAGAAUUUGGAAGAAUUUAAAGAAUUCAUAUGAAAAGAAGUAGUGGUGGUAGUAGUAGUAGUAGUUGUAGUUGUUAUAGUAGUAGUAAUAAUAGUGGUAGUAGUAGCAGAGGUAGUAGUAGUCAUAAGUGUAGUACUAGUAGUAAUAGUAGUUGUAGUAGUGGUAGUUUUACUAGUAGUAGUAAUAGUUGUAGUAGUAGUAGUAGUAUUAGUAGUUCUUGUAGUAGCUGUUGUUGUAGUUGUAGUAGUAGUAGAUCAUUGGAAGAAGUUGGAAGAAUUUAAAGAAUUCAUAUGCAAAGAAGAAGAUGAUGGAGAGCAGACUGUUCGGGGUUGGGAGAGAGAGGACUCAUCAGGGUUGAGAGAGAGGACUCAUCAGGGUUGGGAGAGAGGACUCAUCAGGGUUGAGAGAGAGGACUCAUCAGGGUUGGGAGAGUGGACUCAUCAGGGUUGGGAGAGAGAGGACUCAUCAGGAUUUGGAGAAAGGACUCAUCAGGGUUGAGAGAGAGGACUCAUCAUUAUUUGGAGACAGGACUCAUCAGGGUUGAGAGAGAGGACUCAUCAGGGUUGGGAGAGAGAGGACUCAUCAGGGUUUGGAGAGAGAGGACUCAUCAGGGUUGAGAGAGAGGACUCAUCAGGGUUGAGAGAGAGGACUCAUCAGAGUUGGGAGAGUGGACUCAUCAGGGUUGGGAAAGAGGAGAUUCAUUAGGUUUGGGAGAGAUAGGACUCUUCAGGGUUUGGAGAGAGAAGACUCAUUAGGGUUAGGCAGCAGGUGUACGCACUGCUCUCUUGAAAACCUCCUGGCCUCUGUUAUUGCAUCUUCCUAGGGCCAUGAAAGAGGGAAUAGAUGAGGGCCAAAAGGAGAGACACUGUUUGUGUUUCUUUUGAUUGAUCGCAUCCCUGUAACAAAAGGCAGAGAUUUUUAUUAAUUUUCCUGGCUGAUUAAUGAGGAUCCUGUUGUCUGAUGUGGGUCUGUAUUUUGCAUUAAUGGAGGUGGGGCAGCUAUUCGAAUAGCCGCGGGAAACCAGG
ensembl:lncRNA